rnacentral:rRNA from 1 species
CCUACGGGGGGCAGCAGUGAGGAAUAUUGGUCAAUGGACGAGAGUCUGAACCAGCCAAGCAGCGUGAAGGAUGACUGCCCUAUGGGUUGUAAACUUCUUUUGUAUGGGAAUAAAAUGGUCCACGUGUGGGAUUUUGUAUGUACCAUAUGAAUAAGGAUCGGCUAACUCCGUGCCAGCAGCCGCGGUAAUACGGAGGAUCCGAGCGUUAUCCGGAUUUAUUGGGUUUAAAGGGAGCGUAGGUGGAUUGUUAAGUAAGUUGUGAAAGUUCGCGGCUCAACCGUGAAAUUGCAGUUGAAACUGGCAGGCUUGAGUACAGUAGAGGUAGGCGGAAUGCGUGGUGUAGCGGUGAAAUGCUUAGAUAUCACGAAGAACACCGAUUGCGAAGGCAGCUCACUGGACUGCAACUGACGCUGAGGCUCGAAAGCGUGGGGAGCAAACAGGAUUAGAUACCCGUGUAGUC